rnacentral:rRNA from 1 species
UGGUGGAGUGAUUUGUCUGCUUAAUUGCGAUAACGAACGAGACCUUAACCUGCUAAAUAGCCCGGCCCGCUUUUGCGGGUUGCCGGCUUCUUAGAGGGACUAUCGGAUUUCAAGUCGAUGGAAGUUUGAGGCAAUAACA